UUUCCAGCCGCCGCGGUAAUACGUAGGGGGCAAGCGUUGUCCGGAUUUAUUGGGCGUAAAGCGCUCGCAGGUGGUCCGUCGCGUCGUGCGUGAAAGCCCCCGGCUCAACUGGGGAGUGUCGUGCGAUACGGGCGGACUGGAGGCCAGUAGGGGGAUGCGGAAUUCCGGGUGUAGUGGUGGAAUGCGUAGAGAUCCGGAGGAACACCAGCGGCGAAGGCGGCAUCCUGGACUGGUCCUGACACUCAUGAGCGAAAGCGUGGGGAGCGAUCCGGAUUAGAAACCCCGGUAGUCC
rnacentral:rRNA from 1 species